UGUAAGAGAAUACAGAUACUGCAGAAGGCAAUCUCACCCUUUAGCUGCAGCUGUACUAAUUAGCAAAGAUUAGGAAUAGGCCUGCCCUUAAUAGGCCACAGCUGUGUCCAGUAAGGAUGAGUGCUAUGAAAGAGUGGGUUGGGUGUUUGUGGAGCCAGUUGGAGUCUGUUGGUUGUGCUGUGAAGGAGAAGUUAAUGCUGCGAGGAGCUGCCCAUGAGAAGUCACUGAGAAAAUUUGCUUACCUGUCUCACUUGGAGCCAUGGGACACAAUGAUCACUGACAUCCUACUUUUUCUGUGAACGUCAUCUAAAGGACAUAGCAAGGAGAAGGACACUUCACAGGCAAAACACCUUUCAUGUCCUCAGGCCCCAUGUCAGAUGGGAAAAUCUGAAGCAUCAGUGCUUCUGGGAAUGAAAUUGGGACAGAGGACAAGGAAAACCUGAAGCGUGGACACAGGCUGUCUUAUUGCUUGUGUCCUGAGUGAUUCCCAGUAACAUGGAUCAAGCACCCUGACCUGAGCAAGAUUAGCUUCUUGAGACUGCACAGGAGGGAGUCAUCAAUGCACUGAUGAACCAGUGCACCUCUCAGUCCCCGCUUCUGCAUUUGCAGACUAUCCCUUUAGCCACACUUUUGGUAUGUGAAGCAACAGUAUAUUCAUUAAUUCAGUCCUGCUUUGCCCGUGCAGACUGAGUUAUCCAUGUAAAUGUGAUCUACUGAGCUAUUCUCAGAGAUGCUUCAUAAAUUUCUAUGUUAAAUGACAGCAGCAAAUGGGAAGUGUUUGACACUUUUUUAGUUAUGAGGAAGGUGUGUGAUGCAGAACAUCAGAAUUUGUGUUUAAUUGGUGCUGAUUAAAAGAGGAAAUUAUCUCAAGUUGUGCUGUGGGAGGUUUAGAUUGGAUAUGAUGCAAAAAUUCUUCACCGAAAGGGUUAUCAAGCAGUGGAACAGACUGUCCACUUAAGUGAUUGAGUCACCAUCCAUGGACAUAUGGAAAAUAUGUAGAUGUGGCACUUAAGGAUGAGGUUUAGUGGUGGACUUGGCAGUGAUAGGUUGAUGGUUAGACUUGAUGAUCUUAAAGUUUUGGGGGUUUUUUUUGUGAUUCUAUAAAAAGAAAACCAGCUAAAAAGUAACUCCUUGUCCUUUGGGAAAAUACAUUUUAUUAUUUCUGUCAGGUGAAAGUGUUCCCAUUAGAAAUAUUCUCAAGUUGUCUGUUUUCUGAAAGUAUUUCUUCUCUUAUGCAUCCUGUCUAAAACAUCAUUUUGCUGCUUUGUGAAAUACAGUCAGAGACUUUCAAAAUUCAGGAUUGUUUAGAGUUGUAAAUAAUGCUCAUUCUAUCAAGAGCAAAAUAAUAAACCAUUACUGCUUCACAAUGCUGGAAGUAAAAAUAAUCUUUGCUAUGUGUUACUGUCUUAAGUUUACAUUAAAAAAAUUAGAAAAGUAAUUAAAAAC